rnacentral:rRNA from 1 species
UAGGGAAUCUUCCACAAUGGACGCAAGUCUGAUGGAGCAACGCCGCGUGAGUGAAGAAGGUUUUCGGACCGUAAAGCUCUGUUGUUGGUGAAGAAGGAUAGAGGUAGUAACUGGCCUUUAUUUGACGGUAAUCAACCAGAAAGUCACGGCUAACUACGUGCCAGCAGCCGCGGUAAUACGUAGGUGGCAAGCGUUGUCCGGAUUUAUUGGGCGUAAAGCGAGCGCAGGCGGAAGAAUAAGUCUGAUGUGAAAGCCCUCGGCUUAACCGAGGAAUUGCAUCGGAAACUGUUUUCUUGAGUGCAGAAGAGGAGAGUAGAACUCCAUGUGUAGCGGUGGAAUGCGUAGAUAUAUGGAAGAAUACCAGUGGCGAAGGCGGCUCUCUGGUCUGCAACUGACGCUGAGGCUCGAAAGCAUGGGUAGCGAACAGGAUUAGAUACCCUGGUAGUCCAUGCCGUAAACGAUGAGUGCUAAGUGU